rnacentral:rRNA from 1 species
UUUUACGGGAGGCAGCAGUGGGGAAUUUUGGACAAUGGGCGCAAGCCUGAUCCAGCCAUGCCGCGUGUCUGAAGAAGGCCUUCGGGUUGUAAAGGACUUUUGUCAGGGAAGAAAAGGCUGUUGCUAAUACCGACAGCUGAUGACGGUACCUGAAGAAUAAGCACCGGCUAACUACGUGCCAGCAGCCGCGGUAAUAAAA